AUAAUAUUUUAUAAAGAGUCAGGCCUGCCCAGUGAUUAUUAUUCAACGGCCGCGGUACUCUGACCGUGCAAAGGUAGCAUAAUCAUUUGCCUUAUAAUUGAAGGCUAGUAUGAAUGGUUUAACGAGAGCAAUACUGUCUCCUUUUUAUUUUUUAGAAUUUAACUUUUAGGUGAAGAGGCCUAAAUUUAAUUGAAGGACAAGAAGACCCUGUCGAGCUUAAAAGAUAAUAUAGAAGUUCAUAUAUCUUUAAAUAAAUUUACUAUAAAGCUUUUUGGUUGGGGCGACUAAGGAACAAAAAAAGCUUCUUUUAAUUAACAAACUCACAAGUUUUGAUCCAGUAAUGACCGAUUUAAGAAAUAAGUUACCGCAGGGAUAACAGCAUAAUCUCUCUUAAGAGUCCUAAUCGAAAGAGGGGGUUGUGACCUCGAUGUUGGACUAAAAUAUCCUAAAGGUGCAGAAGCCUUUAAGGGUC
rnacentral:rRNA from 1 species